UGUCGCCUAUGUCGAGGAACUCUGACGCCUGUAAGCCGAAACCAAUCCGUCACACUGUCCCCGUUUUCUCGUCUCCUCCGUCUUCCUCCUCAUGGUUUCCCCCCUAUCAACUCCCUCCCUCGUAUUCUGCACCAACUCCCCUGCGCGAUCUCCUCCUUCUCGCGCGCCACUGAUCCAGCCUCCUCGGAAGCGGACGGUGUCUGCCUGCGUCCCCAACCGUCUCAGGUACCGCAGGCAUCGAGCACGGCGUGCACCGACGCUGUUCGACACUAAAAAGAAACGGAUGGAGUACUGUUGAGGAACCAGAAAGCUUCAUUGGUUGAAUCAAUUCAUAAUAUGGCACCUUUAUCUUCUGCUAAAUGCCGUGAUGCUAGAAGAUUUAUUGUUGGCGACCUCUGUAUGUUGCUCUACAUGUUUGUAUGAAUGGGUUUGUACAUCUGUUCAUGUUACAAGCCUACACCGCUACAAGGCAGCAUUAUAAGAAGUAAACAACAGACGACAUGAGAUAUGAGAGUUUCUUAAAUUAUUACCUUAUUUUUGUCAUGGCAUUGCUAUGUGCGGAGAGGUCUUCUUGCCGUCUUGGUUGGGAAAAGCUGGCAUCGGGUUAGAUAUUCCUCUCUGUCUGGUAACAUAUACUCUCACAUGCAACCCUUAUUCUUAUCAUUCUGUACACAGAACGUGAUCAGAAUGACUGUGCUCAUCAUCAUUUUGAUGCAAUGCCGGUCAAAAGUAUAGUCUCAUGUAGCACCAUGAUUGCUGGGUACUCGUAGUGGAGAGGAUAUGCAAGUUCUGGUGCUUUUUUCUGUGAUGCACCAACAAGGGGUGCACAUGAGUGAGUUUACCUUUAGCAGCACUCUAUGUGCAUGUCCUGGAAAAUAUGCUUUGUGUAAAUGCAAGCAGUUACACGGCGUGGCCAUCAAGUUUGCACUGGACUCUAGUAGUUCUGUCAGAACUGUAGUUCGUGAUGUUUAUGCAAAGCUUGAUACGAUUUAAGAAUGCAAGCCGGAUUUGUGAAAAGAUGCCACAGAGAGUCACAGUUAGAGCUCGUUGCUUGCAGGGUAUGUGCAUGAUGCUCUUCAGAUAGCACAAAGGGAGGGGGGGGGGGGGGGGGGGGGGGGGGGGGGAGGUGUGCAAUGGUCGCUGGUUUUUCUAGGAAUGCUCGCUCUUCAGGAGUUAAGAUUAUUUUCAAGGAAAUGCAGCGGUUAAGGGUUUCUCUGAAUGAAGGGGUGAGGUACCCGUUUACCUGUAGUGUCAGUAUGCAGUCAUGCAGGCUUAUUUGGAGAGGCCCAUCACUACUUAAGAUUGCUAAUGAGUAAUGACUGAUCAUUCGGUUGAACCUGGCUAAUAUCCUUCUCUAUUUUUGAAAGGUUGAUGUUUCUGGACGAGCUAGGAGGAUUGACAAGGCCUGGGAUUUGGUUCCAGUAACGGUGUUUGAACCUGCUGCUUCUAUGUGAGGAUAUUUGCCAGGGUAAUGUAGGAGCUACAGGAGAAUAAGAUUAGCCAGAAUAGAGACUGAGCAGUUUUUCCAACUUGGACCUGACAAGGGUGGAAACCAUGUUUGACAUUCAGAUAUGUAUGCUGCCAGUCCAAAGUGGGAUAUUAUCUUGACGACAGAGACAGAGCACCCUCUAUAAUAAGUUAAAGGUAAUUUACCGUGAGAUGAGAAGAUCUCUUCACAGGACCAGCUAAUACACAAUGUGACCUUCAUGUAUGUGCAUGACUACUCGAAGGGGGAGGCUGGAGCUGCUUAAACACUUAAAUAUCUGUAGAUUCAACCAUUUUAAGGAUGGUUCAUGUUCUUGUGGGGACUUCUGGGGAUUGAGAACCGAAUGAGACCAAUCAUCUCCAAGUGGUGCUCCCAUCAUGUAGCAAAUUAUUGUCCUGUGAGUAGUGGAUCUGCUGCUUUAAAGAUCCAUGUCGACUUAUAUUGUGAGAUUGGCCAUUCAAGUCAAUAAUGUCAUGCUGCCGACCCCAUUUGGUGUAAUAUCAGCAGUAUCAUCUGAACUGUGCACAGCAAAUGGUAGCCCAGAUGUGGGUCCUUGAUCAUCUGAACAGACUGAGUGACCUACAAGCUCUUAUCUUGUACAGUAGUUGCGCCAUACAUCAUAAGACAAUACCUCUUACAUGUGCAGGAUUUAUUCAUGUAGAAAUAUGCUGGAAGUGGAUCUGGGUGUCUCAGGAAGUGAUUCGCUGCACUAUUGUCUAUGGGCGUGCUGCAGUAGAUAACUGCAGCGAUUGAUACACAUCUUGGUUCGCUCCCUUGUGAUUUCACCAUCCUCAUUGUUGUUUCCGAUCAAAGAAUGAUGAGCUAUGGAAAGUGUACUGACCAGUUGCUGGGAACUGGAGACACGGCGGCGUAGGGGCUCUGGUGCACGUAGCCGUACAUCGCCGGCGUCGCGGGCACGGCUUCUGCCUCUGGCUCUGGCCCGCAGUCGAGGUUCACGCCGAACAGCCUGAGCCGGCGUGUCGGUGCCGAGGCUGGGCUGCAGCUCCUGGUGUCUGCGUCCCACUGGGAUUCUCCUGCGAUUGUUCAUUCACCAGAAAUGGCGUUAGAGCGUUCAUGGUGAUGGUGCUUCAAGUUCCCAAACGCCGGGAUGAGAACUGGACCUGCACAGAGAUCGUGCACCCUUCUCCAGUUUCCAACGGAUUGUGAAUCAGGUUUGGUUUCUCCAUGCACAUGAAUGAGUUGGUAUCCCAUGGAAUUGAAUACAAGAUAACUCAAGAUAAGGGGACACAUGCUAAUGCUCCUAGUUUAGUUAUCCCUGUGGUCUCAGCUCCUUUCCAAGAGGCGAUGCAUGUUUUGCCAAGUUCAUGCAGAUGUGGGAGUAGGCGCCUUGAGUGCGGCAUGUUACUCCCCCCUAUUCACAAAUAUAUACAUGCCACCAUGGGAAGUGUGCAAUUAAGCAUUGCCAAUCUUGGACCUUUUAAUAUUGCAAAACCAAAGGGUAUCUAGAUGCCUUCAUUUGAAAUGAUAAUUGCCCCUUAUGGGGUUAACGUUCGGAUGGAAAAUAUAUUCAUAAAAAGAAACCCAGCAUCCUAGCUGUUUGCUGACAUAUCAUUACCUCUUGGAGACUGAGGCUAUGUUAAAAGGCUAAGAUGUCAUGUCAACCUAAUAUGUAGAGCAUUAUGAUUGCAUUAGCUUAAGAGCCAUGAACCUAUGGUUUCUUGCAUCUAACACUUUGUGGUGAUGGGCUGGCGAGCAUCUACAGUGUGCUUCUGUUUUAUCUAGCACUGCCGCCUAUUUAUAUCCUUGUUUUAAGCAGCCGCCUGUUUACAUUGAAAACUCAUUUCAAGAUUCCACUGCAUGGUUCCCAUGGUUUGGACUUUGGAGUGAUAAAACCCUCCAAAAUUAGUUGAGCUCGUUUUGUCAUGGAUACUUUUGUGUUUUUAUAGAGAGAAUCACGAAUCACAAUUGUUUACCCUUGUUCAAUUCAUUUUAUUAUAAGAUGUGAGCAUUCGUGUAUUGGGACCAUGGUGCGCACAGCUGCUUCUACCACCAUUCUGCAUUCAUUGCCCGUCUGUGCGUGCCUCCUAAAUUUCUGUCCCAGGAAGUGGUGCGAGUGUGUGCAGCUGCCUGACCCCUGACUGAACUGAAUCUGCGUCCGCUGCAGCGAUCUUUUGAGCAGAUCUUCGUGGUGCGGUGGGAUUGGGAACACGCAAGGGUGAGGUGAGGUCCAGACCAGCAGACGAUCUAAACAGGGCUGGACUCUCUCCUUGCGCACUGAAAGAGUGACGUGAUGGCGAAGAAGGUGACGGAUGAGAGAAGGAAAAAUGUUUCGUUUUCAGAUGCCUUUAAUUUCCCCUUGCGGAGCCAACAUGCUGUCACAAGGUUGUCGAUAUCGGUAUCGGGGUACUGGCUAGAUCAUUUCGGAAUUGUAUGAUCGUAUCUGCAACGUACUGUUGAAUCAUAUCAGUAUCGGCAGCGUAGGGUUGUAUUAUUAUUCAGAAGAUGGUCUGGUAGAAUCAUACUGGUAUCGUAUAAAAUACUACUAAGAUACGUAUCCUCCAGUCCAGUCAGCAGGGACGAGGAGAAAGAAGACACAGAGAGAGCUAAGAGCAGUGGAUCAAAAGCAUCUGGGUCUCUUCCCUUUGUUCAUCCUCUAAGAAAAGGUGGCUAGGUUUCUGCCUUCCGUCGGCGGCGCCGCUGAUCUCCCACGUCUUCUGUGGCUUUAGGGUCAUAUGUGCACGGUGGAUCCCGGUCCUUGUCGGUGGGAGGGCUCUGUUUUCAGAUGCUUCUUCAAGUUUUUUGUUAGAGUUUGUGUUCUGCUUAAGAAGACUCAAGAAGACGAGAUGGCGGCGGCUUCUUGAAGAUGAAAUAAGGUUCUCCCCGCCUAGCCUCUGUCCCAAUGGUGUGUCUAGCAUUGUCGGUGGACGUGUGGAGGUGUGUCUCUGGUGGAUCUCGCGAGAUUUGGUCGGUGGUAGUCUUUGGUGGAUCCGCUCGGAUGCAGUCUUUGUUCAUGUGUCUUCAGGUUGGAUCCUUACUAUCUAAAAUUCUCUUCAUGGGGGGCGGUUGCUGUUCUGAGGCCUUAUCACAACGAUUUCCCGACUGUCUACUACAACAAGCUGUGCCCGGCUCCGGUGAGGAAGGGGCGAUGACGGCGGCACGCCUUCGGCUCGCUUCAGUGCUUGUAGUCGUCGCUAGG